rnacentral:tRNA from 1 species
GUUCAACUCCCUCCUCUACUA